rnacentral:rRNA from 1 species
CACGUAGGGUGCGAGCGUUGUCCGGAAUUAUUGGGCGUAAAGAGCGUGUAGGCGGCUGGGUAGGUCCGUUGUGAAAACUCGAGCUCAACCUCGAGACGCCGAUGGAAACCCUCCAGCUAGAGUCCGGAAGAGGAGAGUGGAAUUCCGUGGUGUAGCGGUGAAAUGCGCAGAUAUUAGGAAGAACACCCGUGGCUAAGGCGGCUCUCUAGUACGGUACUGACGCUGAGACGCGAAAGCGUGGGAGCGAACAGG